rnacentral:rRNA from 1 species
UACGUAGGGUGCAAGCGUUAAUCGGAAUUACUGGGCGUAAAGCGUGCGCAGGCGGUUCUGUAAGUCUGUCGUGAAAUCCCCGGGCUCAACCUGGGAAUUGCGUUGGAGACUGCAAGGCUAGAAUCUGGCAGAGGGGGGUAGAAUUCCACGUGUAGCAGUGAAAUGCGUAGAGAUGUGGAGGAACACCGAUGGCGAAGGCAGCCCCCCUGGGUCAAGAUUGACGCUCAUGCACGAAAGCGUGGGGAGCAAACAGG